rnacentral:rRNA from 1 species
GAUGAACGCUGGCGGCGUGCCUAAUACAUGCAAGUCGAGCGAACGGACGAGAAGCUUGCUUCUCUGAUGUUAGCGGCGGACGGGUGAGUAACACGUGGAUAACCUACCUAUAAGACUGGGAUAACUUCGGGAAACCGUAGCUAAUACCGGAUAAUAUUUUGAACCGCAUGGUUCAAAAGUGAAAGACGGUCUUGCUGUCACUUAUAGAUGGAUCCGCGCUGCAUUAGCUAGUUGGUAAGGUAACGGCUUACCAAGGCAACGAUGCAUAGCCGACCUGAGAGGGUGAUCGGCCACACUGGAACUGAGACACGGUCCAGACUCCUACGGGAGGCAGCAGUAGUGAAUCUUCCGCAAUGGGCGAAAGCCUGACGGAGCAACGCCGCGUUAGUUAUGAAGGUCUUCGGAUCGUAAAACUCUGUUAUUAGGGAAGAACAUAUGUGUAAGUAACUGUGCACAUCUUGACGGUACCUAAUCAGAAAGCCACGGCUAACUACGUG